AGCGUAAGACUAGUAAGCCAGAAGUCCCGGGUUCGAUCCCUAGCCGAGGCAGUGAUUUAAAUUUAAUUAAUCCUGCGCUCUGUUACAUUAAUUUCAUUUUACGGGGUAACAAUUAUCUUUACAAAACCGCGACACCAUUGCAAAAACCUUCAAAUAUAAUUCAUUAUUCUUUAUAGCUGCUAAAACCUUGAACAAAAUUCUAUCGUAAAACUUUAACCAAAUCUGGCAGGAAGCAUCCAUGAACUUUCUAAAAAAUGUGACAAACUAUUAACAUGAUUAAAGCCAUAUGGAAUAGCCAAAACAGUGUCCAUUUUCAUCCACAUAUAAGUUAAAGAUAAAGUGUUAACCAACAUUGUUUGUUACACAGAGUUACAUGUACGGUAACGUCCAUUUUCAAAUUAAUGUACAUAGUUAAGUACCUUUGUUCAGCAAUAUGAGUACUGGUAUGUGUAUUGGCCUUAUGACCUUUUUUGACAUUAUCCAAACUUUGUCCACACACUAUCCGGAGAAAAGAAUGGAUAAUCUUACAAGUUCAUAGGAAGAUUAGAUUUAUCAAUAUUACCAGUAUCCAACUGUAAUUAAUUUACUUACAAUUGACCCAUAAAUUAUAUAGAACAUGUCCUGUUUUGAGACCUUUUAAUUGCCUUUAAUUAUUGAAAUAUGUUAAUCUUUUAUUUUUGAAUUAUUACAGAGAAUACAAACUGUAAUCACCAACGAUAAAAGGAACUUAUUGGAUGCCUUUUUUGAAAGGGGAAUGACCUCAAAAGGCCACAAAUGCAAAGAGAUGUGGUCUGAAGCAGCCCAGUCCACAGGACUGCACAUAGAUGUUGUCAAGGAGAAGAGAAAACCUACCUUCCCAGAAACAAGUAAG